AGAGUUUGAUCCUGGCUCAGAAUGAACGCUGGCGGCAUGGAUUAGGCAUGCAAGUCGAGCGCGAAAGUUUCCUUCGGGGAACGAGUAGAGCGGCGAAAGGGUGAGUAACACGUGAGUAACCUGCCCCUGACUCUGGGAUAGCCCCGGAAAACCGGGAUUAAUACCGGAUGGUGCCGGUUGGCCUUAUGGCCUUCCGUCUAAAGAUUGAUUUCGGUCGGGGAUGGGCUCGCGGCCCAUUAGCUUGUUGGUGAGGUAACGGCUCACCAAGGCUGAGACGGGUAGGUGGUCUGAGACGAUGGUCACCCACACUGGGACUGAGACACUGCCCAGACUCCUACGGGAGGCUGCAGUCGAGAAUCUUCCGCAAUGGGCGCAAGCCUGACGGAGCAAUGUCGCGUGAGGGAUGACGGCCUUCGGGUUGUAAACCUCUGUCACCCGGGACGAAGAAGUGACGGUACCGGGAGAGGAAGCCACGGCUAACUACGUGCCAGCAGCCGCGGUAAUACGUAGGUGGCGAGCGUUAUUCGGAUUCACUGGGCGUAAAGGGUUCGUAGGGGGUUUGCCAAGUCUGAUGUGAAAUGCCAUGGCUCAACCAUGGACGUGCAUUGGAUACUGGCGAUCUUGAGUCCGUGAUGGGAGAGCGGAAUUCCUGGUGUAGCGGUGGAAUGCGUAGAUAUCAGGAAGAACACCAGCGGCGAAGGCGGCUCUCUGGCACGGUACUGACCCUGAUGGACGAAAGCGUGGGUAGCAAAUAGGAUUAGAUACCCUGGUAGUCCACGCCGUAAACGUUGUGCACUAGAUGAGGGCGGUACUUCGGUCCCGUCCGUGUCCAAGCUAACGCGAUAAGUGCACCGCCUGGGGACUACGGCCGCAAGGCUAAAACUCAAAGGAAUUGACGGGGGCCCGCACAAGCGGUGGAGCAUGUGGCUUAAUUCGAGGCAACGCGAAGAACCUUACCUGGAUUUGACAUAUACCUGCCCGUCCGUGAAAGCGGAUUUUCUCUUCGGAGACGGGUAUACAGGUGCUGCAUGGCUGUCGUCAGCUCGUGCCGUGAGGUGUUCGGUUAAGUCCGGCAACGAGCGCAACCCAUGUCACUAGUUGCCAUCAGGUAAUGCUGGGGACUCUAGUGAGACUGCCCGUUUCAAGCGGGAGGAAGGCGUGGAUGACGUCAAGUCCGUAUGGCCCUUACAUCCAGGGCUGCACACGUGCUACAAUGGGUGGUACAGAGAGACGCGAUGCCGUGAGGUGGAGCAAAUCUUCAAAACCAUCCCCAGUUCGGAUUGGAGUCUGCAACUCGACUCCAUGAAGCCGGAAUCGCUAGUAAAGGCGUAUCAGCAACGACGCCUUGAAUACGUUCCCGGGCCUUGUACACACCGCCCGUCACAUCAUGGAAGCUGGCUGCACCCGAAGUCUCUGUUCAGCAGAGCCGAAGGUGUGUCCAGUGACUGGGAUGAAGUCGUAACAAGGUAGCCGUAGGGGA
rnacentral:rRNA from 1 species